rnacentral:rRNA from 1 species
UACGUAGGGUGCGAGCGUUGUCCGGAAUUAUUGGGCGUAAAGAGCUCGUAGGCGGUUCGUCGCGUCGGCUGUGAAAUCCCGAGGCUCAACCUCGGGUCUGCAGUCGAUACGGGCGGACUGGAGUUCGGCAGGGGAGACUGGAAUUCCUGGUGUAGCGGUGAAAUGCGCAGAUAUCAGGAGGAACACCGGUGGCGAAGGCGGGUCUCUGGGCCGAUACUGACGCUGAGGCUCGAAAGCGUGGGGAGCAAACAGG